UACGUAGGCGGAAUGAUAAGUUAGUGGUGAAAGCCCCCGGCUCAACCGGGGAACUGCCAUUAAUACUGUCAUUCUUGAGUAUAGUUGAAGUGGGCGGAAUGUAUCAUGUAGCGGUGAAAUGCUUAGAUAUGAUACAGAACACCGAUAGCGUAGGCAGCUUGCUAAACUAUAACUGACGCUCAGGCACGAAAGCGUGGGGAGCAAACAGGAUUAGAUACCCUGGUAGUCC
rnacentral:rRNA from 1 species